AUUGAAUUAGAGCUCUAUUUAAUUCUGUGUUAUUUUGAACAUGUUUAGAACAUUCUAGUAAAAGAAAUGUUCACAUUUCUUAGGAACACACAUACAGUAGAUGUUGCUUGUUGUCCCUCCUUCCUGACCUCUCUCUUUCUCCUCCCUCUCUUCUCCUCCUCCUCAAGUAAACAUCUACUCCUACUCCUAUCUACAAAUCAGAGUAAUUUACUCAACGGCACAGAUAUUGGAGAAUUCCAUGGAAAUGUAAAGAUAGAAUCAUACAUGCAUACAAAUUCAAGCCAAUUAGUCGACAUGUCAGCCAAGAAUUCAGCAUUUUACGCAUUCUAUUUUUAUGCACAUUUUGAUGUUGUUGUCAAGGUAACAUGUCUUACAUCUUUAGAAAGGUAAAGAAUGUUAAAUUAAUCUGUUGCUUACUUACAAUUUACAAUGUUUUUUAAAAAUACAACUGUAAAUGCUGUCUUAUUUUGCAUGCUUUGUACAAAAUAAUAAAAUGCAGUACUACAGGAUAUUUCUUAACGUAGCUCUUUAUUAGCUAGCUACAACUGUCAUGUUCACGUAUCUCCAACCAUGAUCAACUGACCAUGACCUAACCAUCUGGGUGGUCUUAACCAAUCAUAACACAGUAUGAUACAGCGGUAAAAUGCAUCCAAUUAUAAUUCAGUAUGUUUACACAUAUGAAUAUUACAUCCGCCUUCUUUUAAAACAAAAGAAAAUGUUUACAUAUUCUAAGUGUUUCUUUUGAAAACAUGUUCUGCAGUUUGAACUCAAGGUAAGUAACCAUUUAUAUUGCAUUCUACACCAACUGAAUCAACUUAGACUCUGAAACAAUGAUCCAAUAUACUGUUACUUUUCGAACAAGGGAUUCUCAGCAACUCAGCUUUCACAGUAGAAAUGACAUCUUAACAUUUCAAAUAAAUACAAUACCAAAGCAUUUCAAGUGAACUUUCAAUAACAAGUUUACAGUCUGGAACUCUUUUAGGGCAGCGAUCCGCCUACACCCUUUGACAUUUCACAGGUCUAGGACAGCUCUUGGCUUGACCUCUCUUACUGACCUUGUGUGAUAUGAUGCUGAGCAUGCUUCUGUGUCUGUCAACAGUUCUUGUGGUGUUGCAGGUAAGUAUGGUGUAUGUUGUGCUGUGUGUGUGUUUAGUCCAUCACGUUCUCUUUCAGGGGAACAGUUCAUCUCAUCAGUGUGUUGUUCUUUUGUGUUCAGUGGGUGACGACGAUUACGGCGGUACACCUCUCCUUCUGCGGUGCGGACGUGAUAUGAACGUUCAGUGUCAGCUGGCUGGAUGACGACUGCUGGCUUCCAGAGGCCAUGCUCCUGGAUUCUAACAGACUCUCCGUCGAUCAGUGGUGGCAGUGGUCUACCUGACCUGUCGUAGUAUCGCUUUUGUUGUUGUCUCUGUGCACGUUUUCAUGCAUUUCCUUGUAGCUGACGACCUCAGGUUGCAGCUGCUGGUUGGUGCUGGGAAGUGAUUUAGCAAUCUGCACAGAUUUUUCAGCAAGGCCAUUACUUUGAGGGUAAUGUGGGCUUUUGGUGUCGUGUAAACUCCCAUGCUUUUGUGAAGGAUUCAAACUCAUUUGAUUUGUAACAGGGCCCAUUGUCAGAUAUUAAAGUCUCUACAAUGCCAUGCCUGGCAAAGGCUGCUUUCAGCUUGUGUAUCACAGCUGCAGAUGUGGUGCUGUGAAGCUUGUCGAGUUCGAAGUAUCUGCUGUAGUAGUCCACUGUUACGAUGUAGUCCUCGUUGUUCCAGGUGAAUAGAUCGGUUGCCACGACCUGCCAGGGUCGGUCUGGGAUACAGUGAGGUAACAUUGGCUCUUUGGUGUUUGAGGGGCGUCGUUCAAGACAUAUGGCGCAUUUACCAACAAUGUCCUCUAUUUGUUUGCACAUUCCGGGCCAAAACAAAAUGUCCCGUGCUCUCUGUUUGCACUUUUCCAUGCCCAUGUGUCCAGCAUGGAUCUUUGUCAAAAUCUCUUCUCUGAGACUGGUGGGAAUAAUGAUUUUCUCUCCUUUGAAAAUUAUUCUGUUGAUCUGUGAUAGUUCAUCACGAUGGUUCCAGAAUUCUGAGACGCUCUGAGGGCAUUUUCUCCUCUCCUCAGGCCUUCAUCUGUAUGACUUUCCUCAGCUGUGUGAGUUGUGAGUCCUUUUCUGUUUCUGCUUGGAUCUCCUUCAGUUUUGUGUCACUAACUGGUAAGUUGCUUUACACAGUGUGCACUUGCAUGUCCAUGCCUUCACUGUGGCUGCUGUCCUUAUAGGUAAGAAACUUCCUGGGGAGAGUGUCUGUGUCAGGGAUGUCUUUGCCUGGGCGGUGAGUGAUUGAGAAGUCGUAUUUUUGUAGUUGAAGGAUCAUUCUCUGUAGCCUUGGCGGGGCUGCGGGUAGUGGUUUCCUCAUGAUUGACUCAAGGGGCUUGUGGUCAGAUUCCACAAUGACUUGUCAUCCAUAUACGUACUGAUGGAAACGUUUACAUCCGAACAGAAUGGCGUAGAGCUCCUUUUUUCGAUUUGAGCGUAGUUGAUUUCACAGUCUGUGAGAGAUUUGGAAGCGUAGCAGAUGGGCUUUCCUUCUUGCAGUAGCACUGCACCUAGUCCAUACUUUGACGUGUCCACUUGGAGUCUGAGCUCUUUGUUGGGGUCGUAGUAGGCAAGGAUUGGUCCUGGUUCUCUCGUGAUCAUGUCGUUCACAUUCUGGAAAGCAAUGUUGUGUUGCUUGGGCCAGAGAAACUCACUGGACUGCUUUAGCAGUUGACGCAGGGGUGCAUUAGCAUUGGAGAGGCUGGGUGCGAACUUGGCUAAGUAGUUGACCAUGCCAAACACAGUUUCCAGCUCUGCACGGUUCUUUGGUGGCUCCAUUUCUUUUAUGGCUGAGAUAUUCUGUGGAUCUGGCUUGAUUCAAGUCGCUGUGAGAAGAUGUCCGAAGUAGCUGACCUCUGUAGCGCCGACUGUGCUCUUCUCAGGGUUGAGCCAGACUCCUCUCUCGCGGGACCUUUGCAGCAUCGCUCAGAAGGUUUCGGUCGUGCUCCUCUUUAGUUCGACCAUAGACAACGAUGUCGUCCACAAUUGCCACAACUCCGUCUAGGCCUCAGUACACUUUGUCAAACUUUCGCUGAAACUCGUCUUGGGGUGAGAUAAUCCCAAAAGGCAGGCGACGGAACCUGUAGCGUCCAUGACACUGAAGUAGUGUGCUCCCACUAGCUUGUGUGUGAUGCCAUCUAGUGUCGGUAAAGGAUAAUGGGGGCAUUUGAUAGCCUUGUUCAAGUCUCUUCGGUCAAGGCAUACUCGAGCUUGCCUGUGCAUGGUUUCUCCACCACCACUAAAGCGUUUUGCCAGUCAGUCGGUUCUGUAACCUUGGUGACUAUGUCAGAUUGCUCCAUGCUCUCCAACUCUUUCUUCAGGCGGGCACGGAGAGCAAGGGGAAUCUUUCUCGGUGGGUAGACCACAGGGGUUGCGUCUGGGUCAAGGUGAAUGGUACAUUCUUCUGGGAAUAAUCCUAUUCCUGUAAAAACAUCAGCAAACUCCUCCAGUACAUUUUCUGUCUCUACUGGUGCUGUCACUGAUAAAACUAGCUUGAUGAGGUCCAUGUCUAAACAUGCUUUAAGACCUAGCACUGCAGGUGCUCUAGUGUCAACGACGUAAAAGUCCAACAUCAUGUCACUUUCCUUGUAUUUGCAUUUGUAUUUGAAAGUGCAUGUGCCUUUUACUGGGAGCUGUUUACCACCAUAACCAGUCAGUCUGCGCAUGGUGGGCUGUAGCUCGCACUCAGAUGUCAAGUUGCGGUACUUAUUCAGAGGUAUAAUGUUUACUUGUGCACCAGUGUCUGGUUUGAACUUUAGCUCUGUGCCUUGUGUUCCUAUCUCAAUGUCAACAAAGGCUUGCUCUGUCUCUGAUAUUUCACUUUUCUGUGUCACUGAAUCAAUAAACAGUUCAUCAGCGUUUGACUCUUUGAUUGCCAUUUCAUCUUCACUCACUGUGUGUACUGUUUUUCCACGGUAAGCUCUGCACACUUUUGCAAAGUGAUUCCAUUUACCACAUUUAGUACACUGUUUGCCUUUAGCUGGGCAAUUUCCUUGUUCGCCAUACACUUUGUAUCCACAUGUUUUGGGGCGUUUUGAGUCUGUGUCGCUCUGUUUUGGAGUUAUGUCUCUCCCAGUUCUAAAACGCGCUAUCUGUGCACCGGAGGUGUGCUUUGAUGUCUGUGUGUUCACGUGAUGCGCUCGUGCUGCCGCGCGAAAUGGUUUUGAUCUGAGCCUGUGCCAGCUCGUGAGAUCUGGAUAUGUCGAUAACUUUGUCCAGCGUUAGCUCAGACCCAAUAUUCAAAAAUGUCCCUCUCACUCACGGUGAGUGUAUUCCAAAUACAAUACGGUCCCUGACCAUCUCAUCCUUGUUUGCAUAAAAUCACAGUCUUUCACAAGCAGACGCAGCUCAGUCACAAACUGUUCAAAAGACUCGCUAGCUCCCUGUACUUUCUCAUGGAAUUUGUACCUAGCGAAAAUCGUAUUGGUCUUCGGCACAACAUAUGCUUCAAAACGAUCGUAGUAUUUUUUUUGUACCUUUGAAUCAGCCUCGAAAUGCCCAAAAGUAUCUGAAAUGAAACUACAGCUUGAUGAAAACAGGUUACUUAUGCAAACAAGUGACUUUAAAGCAGCGGUUUCCAGUUUUAUCUACAAAGGGCCAGUGUGGGUACAAGCUUUCCCUCCAACCAGUAAGUCACAUCUCUGAUUCAACAACUUAGUCUUGACAGGAGACUUUGACAAGGUGAAUCAUGUGUGUGAUGGAAUGGUUGAAAGGAAUGCUUGGAACCACACUGACCCUUUGUGGAUAAGACUGGAUACCACUACUUUAAAUGUAAACAAUGACUGGAAAGAACACAUUUCAACGUGAAUGAGACCAAGGGGGUGAUUUGAACAGCUUGAUUGUAGUUAUGGUCAGCUAGAUGGGGAGGAACUUGGACAGGUACUGAAAUGCGUCCUGCCAAGUUGUUCCUUUGGGCAUCCCAGCUUGCUUCAUUUGGGCCCUGCCUUGGUGCUGGUCUGGCGUUCACAACAUUUUACAUUUUUUUACGUCAUUUAGCAAACGCUCUUAUCCAGAGCGACUUACAGUAGUGAAUGCAUACAUUUCAUACAAUUUCAUACAUUUCAUACAUUUUUUAUCUGUGCUGGCCCCCCGUGGCAACAUCUCUCUGCAUCUCUGGGUCUAGUUCCUCAAGGUCCCCAACCCCCAUGCAGAUGUUGUGCAAAACUGCACAAGCACAGAUGACCCUCGGCACAAACGUGUGUUGAACUUCCAAGGCCUUGAAGAAGAUGCUCCUCCAACGUGUCUUCAACAUCCCAAAGGUCCUCUCGAUGAUGCCUUUGAAUGCUGCUUGUUGUAGCGUUUCUGGAUUGUACUUUGCACCGGCUCCCGGAAUGGGGUCAUUAUAGAUGGGCUGUUGCAGGGACAGCCUCCACCGCCUAAGAUGAAGUAUCCUACCGGUGGGUACCUUUUCUCAGCAUACACAGGGCUGUUCUUAAUGACGUGUAUCCUGAACCGAUCCAGGAGAGCCCACAUAAAUGUCAAUCUAACUCCCCUUUAUGUAACAGAUAGCUUGAAGUUGAAUGGAGGAAAACAGCAUCCUGUUGACACAAUCAUGUGUAUCUUGGCAUGUGGGUGCCUUAACCUGUUGGGUCUAGGGGGCAGCAUUUGCACGUCUGGAUAAAAAAAAUGUACCCGAUUUAAUCUGGUUACUAAUCCUACCCAGUAACUAGAAUAUGCAUAUACUUAUUAUAUAUGGAUAGAAAACACUCUAAAGUUUCCAAAACUGUUUGAAUGGUGUCUGUGAGUAUAACAGAACUCAUUUGGCAGGCAAAACCCUGAGACAUUUUCUGACAGGAAGUGGAUACCUGAUGUGUUGUAUUGACUUUAAACCUAUCCCAUUGAAAAACACAGGGGUUUAGGAAUAUUUUGGCACUUCCUAUUGCUUCC
rnacentral:lncRNA from 1 species